rnacentral:rRNA from 1 species
UUUUCAUCAGACAAUCUGUGUGAGCACUGCAAAGUACGCUUCUUUAAGGUAAGGAGGUGAUCCAACCGCAGGUUCCCCUACGGUUACCUUGUUACGACUUCACCCCAGUCAUGAAUCACAAAGUGGUAAGCGCCCUCCCGAAGGUUAAGCUACCUACUUCUUUUGCAACCCACUCCCAUGGUGUGACGGGCGGUGUGUACAAGGCCCGGGAACGUAUUCACCGUGGCAUUCUGAUCCACGAUUACUAGCGAUUCCGACUUCAUGGAGUCGAGUUGCAGACUCCAAUCCGGACUACGACGCACUUUAUGAGGUCCGCUUGCUCUCGCGAGGUCGCUUCUCUUUGUAUGCGCCAUUGUAGCACGUGUGUAGCCCUGGUCGUAAGGGCCAUGAUGACUUGACGUCAUCCCCACCUUCCUCCAGUUUAUCACUGGCAGUCUCCUUUGAGUUCCCGGCCGGACCGCUGGCAACAAAGGAUAAGGGUUGCGCUCGUUGCGGGACUUAACCCAACAUUUCACAACACGAGCUGACGACAGCCAUGCAGCACCUGUCUCACGGUUCCCGAAGGCACAUUCUCAUCUCUGAAAACUUCCGUGGAUGUCAAGACCAGGUAAGGUUCUUCGCGUUGCAUCGAAUUAAACCACAUGCUCCACCGCUUGUGCGGGCCCCCGUCAAUUCAUUUGAGUUUUAACCUUGCGGCCGUACUCCCCAGGCGGUCUACUUAACGCGUUAGCUCCGGAAGCCACGCCUCAAGGGCACAACCUCCAAGUAGACAUCGUUUACGGCGUGGACUACCAGGGUAUCUAAUCCUGUUUGCUCCCCACGCUUUCGCACCUGAGCGUCAGUCUUUGUCCAGGGGGCCGCCUUCGCCACCGGUAUUCCUCCAGAUCUCUACGCAUUUCACCGCUACNNNNNNNNNNNNNNNNNNNNCCCCCCUCUACAAGACUCAAGCCUGCCAGUUUCGAAUGCAGUUCCCAGGUUGAGCCCGGGGAUUUCACAUCCGACUUGACAGACCGCCUGCGUGCGCUUUACGCCCAGUAAUUCCGAUUAACGCUUGCACCCUCCGUAUUACCGCGGCUGCUGGCACGGAGUUAGCCGGUGCUUCUUCUGCGGGUAACGUCAAUUGCUGCGGUUAUUAACCACAACACCUUCCUCCCCGCUGAAAGUACUUUACAACCCGAAGGCCUUCUUCAUACACGCGGCAUGGCUGCAUCAGGCUUGCGCCCAUUGUGCAAUAUUCCCCACUGCUGCCUCCCGUAGGAGUCUGGACCGUGUCUCAGUUCCAGUGUGGCUGGUCAUCCUCUCAGACCAGCUAGGGAUCGUCGCCUUGGUGAGCCGUUACCUCACCAACAAGCUAAUCCCAUCUGGGCACAUCUGAUGGCAAGAGGCCCGAAGGUCCCCCUCUUUGGUCUUGCGACGUUAUGCGGUAUUAGCCACCGUUUCCAGUAGUUAUCCCCCUCCAUCAGGCAGUUUCCCAGACAUUACUCACCCGUCCGCCACUCGUCAGCAAAGCAGCAAGCUGCUUCCUGUUACCGUUCGACUUGCAUGUGUUAGGCCUGCCGCCAGCGUUCAAUCUGAGCCAUGAUCAAACUCUUCAAUUUAAAAGUUUGAUGCUCAAUGAAUUAAACUUCGUAAUGAAUUACGUGUUCACUCUUGAGACUUGGUAUUCAUUUUUCGUCNNNNNNNNNNNNNNNNNNNNGA